rnacentral:lncRNA from 13 species
AUAGUAAAUAUUGGCCACAUGCAGCUAUUACAUUUAAAGGUAAAUUAAUUAAAAUUAAAUAAAGCUAAAAACUCAGUUCCUCAGACCUACAAUCUACAUUCCAACUGCUUGGUGACCACUAUAGCUAGUGGCUACCAAAUUGGUGUAAAAGAGAAAAUGUCCAUCAUUCCAGAAAAUUCUAUCAGCCAGGGCUGCUCUAGAUGCUUCUGAGACCACUUAGGUCAGUUCUGGUUCCUGAGGGACUUAGCUCUGCCACCAUUACUCCCUUCCCAGGCCCGCCACCCCAUCUCUUUCUGGUUAGCUGAGCAUAUGGACUUAAGGUUAUUCCAGUAUUUUGAUGCCUAUUCUUCUACCCAGAUGACCCCCACAACACUUCCUCAAUGACAACAAUUGUCAUUCCGUCUCGUUCCACACACCAGCAUCCACGAGCCUUCCUUUCUUGUCACCUGGGCUACUCACAUCUUCCCACCUGCCUUCCAUUCCUUGGGUGCCUUUCGCCUCCCACCAUGAUUCAGAGGCCUUCCCAGCCAUGCGGAACUGUAAGUCCAAUUAAAACCUCUUUUUGUUCCCGUUUUGGGUCUUCAUCAGCAGCAUGAAAACGAACUAAUAACAUGCUCUAAUAAAUAAGUCCCAUCCCUCCUGGACCA